rnacentral:rRNA from 1 species
GUAACGAGCGAGACCCACGUCCACAGUUGCCAGCAGUACCCUCCGGGGUGAUGGGUACACUGUGGAGACCGCCGGCUGCUAAAGCGGAGGAAGGAGUGGGCAACGGUAGGUCAGGUAUGCCCCGAAUCUCCCGGGCUACACGCGGGCUACGAAUGGUUGGUACAAUGGGCAUCUACCCCGAAAGGGGAAGGAAAUCUCUUAAAGCCAAUCGUAGUUCGGAUUGAGGGCUGCAACUCGCCCUCAUGAAGCUGGAAUCCGUAGUAAUCGCGUUUCAACAGAACGCGGUGAAUACGUCCCUGCUCCUU